AAAGAAGCAAGCCAAGGUCAAAGUUUGGGAAGCAUCGAAGAAUUGAAUGUGGGAAGGAGUGAGGAGGAGGCAGAACAAAAGCCCUCAGGUCAUUCCCGUAGCUCAUGGACCGACUCUGAAAUCAGGAUCUUCCUGCAGGAGUGGGAAGUAGUUGAACAGGAAGUGAGCCACACAAGCAACAAGAUUCACAAGAAGACCAAGUUUCUUUGUCAGCGCCUCUAUCAUCGGGGCCUGAAGAAGAGCUGGAAAAGCUGUUUCCACCUACUGCGGAACCUGCAUGAUCUGCACGAGACUCUCUGUAAUGAGAGACCAGGGAUUGAACCCUUGUUUUCUCCUUAUGCAGAGGCCCUGUACAAGGUUCUCUCUCUGAUGGGGCUGGUGACCCCACGACCCCCGUGUACCCUCAGCCUCCCAGUUACCAGCCUUCGGAUUAUGGCAUCACGGUUCCUUCUGAGCAGCUUCAAGGGAAUCCGCUGCCAAUGAUGUCGCAGGAGGAUUCCCCGUUUCCCACGUGGGAGCCCUGGAAUCCCAGCUAUCCAUUGUCAGUUCCACACCUACUUCCUGGCUUUGUCCCAGGAGACGCCAACCUCCAGCAGCCAUGGUCAACCUGUGAUUUACACCAAGAUCCCCAAUGAAGAGAAGUGGGGAUUCCCUAUGUAUUCCCUGUAAACCUCAGGAUCAUGCAGUAUUGUGGACUUAGGCAUCUUUCUCUACCUCCUAAGAGAAGAAAAUGUGGAAUCAAACGAAGGUCCAUGAAGA
ensembl:antisense Gm12569 predicted gene 12569